rnacentral:rRNA from 1 species
AUUGAACGCUGGCGGCAGGCCUAACACAUGCAAGUCGAGCGGAGCGGCGGACGGGUGAGUAAUGCCUAGGAAUCUGCCUGGUAGUGGGGGAUAACGUCCGGAAAAGGGAGCUAAUACCGCAUAAUAUCAGAUGAGCCUAGGUCGGAUUAGCUAGUUGGUGGGGUAAAGGCCUACCAAGGCGACGAUCCGUAACUGGUCUGAGAGGAUGAUCAGUCACACGGGAACUGUGACACGGUCCAGACUCCGACGAGAGGCAUCAGUGGGAAAUAUUGGACAAUGGGCGAAAUCCUGAUCCAGCCAUGCCGCGGGUAUGAAGAAGGCCUUCGGUUUGUAAAGUACUUUCAGCGGGGAGGCGUUGCCCGCAGAAGAAGCACCGGCUAACUCCGUGCCAGCAGCCGCGGUAAUAC